rnacentral:rRNA from 1 species
AUGCUUCUCCUAAAGACUAAGCCAUGCAUGCCCUGAAUAUGAGGAAGCAAUUCUCUCUGAAUCUGCGAACGGCUCCGCAAACCAGUUGUAAACUAUAGCAAGCAAGCCCGGGGCUGGCCUUCACGGGCCGGCUCCGGGUUAUAUGGAUAACCCUGGUAAUUCUGAGGCUAAUACAUGACAGUACAACCUGGCUGACUGGGCUUCGGCCUGGGAUGCCGGGGGACGUGUGAUUGAGGGCUUGGUGACACCGGGAAGGGGCG